ACUAAUCGAAGUUUGUACUUUUGAAACUCAAUUUUCUCGAUGAUUUACAGAGACACUACUGCCGGCACUCCACUGCACGCUUUCACAACCCAUCAACACCAUCGGUUUUCAAUCAAACUUUGCAUAUCCCAUCAAUCAACACCGAAUCACACAUCAAAGCCGCUGCUGCUGCGUUCUUAAAAAAAGUGACGUUGCCAAAGAGCAAAGGAGCCUCUCCAUAUCCACCUUAUGCUCCCACCACACUGCCAACCCCCUCCCCAUUUUGGAAAUAACCCAUACGAAGGCGAGUGGGGCACACACUCCGAAUGGACCCAGUGUCCCAUAGAGAAUGGCUCCAUGGAAGCGCAACAAAUUAGGCUAAACACCGACAAGCCCCCCUUUCUCCCCCAUUCUCUGCCUCCCCCUAAAUUCCCCUCUCCACCCCACCCCACCCCAAACAUACAACAUCCAACAUCCCAUUGUGAUGCGACUUUGUGUGGAUGCUGAUUUUGAUGCCGACGCAGCGAGAUUUCCAGUGGCAGACCAAGUAGCAGCAACAGCAACAGAAGCAGCAACAGAAUCAGAAACAGGAACACGAAUGUGAGUCAACGCACACGUAUUACCCGGGUUGCACUGCGAGAAAGUGGGGGAAUAAUCUAAAGCAAAUACAAUGAUUUGUAUGAUCGUUCAAGUAAACGCUAUUCAAAGGAUCUCUAAUACUUUACAAUCAAGGUGUACAUAAAACAGCUGCCAAAGGUUAAAGGUGUGUGCUUUUGGUUCCCAACGAAUUGAGCAAUCGGCGCCUAGACAGUUUAGAGACAAAGGACAUCUGGCCGACGUCAUCAACAUCAACAUCCAGAAAACACCAUCUGAAUCAUCAUCAACAUCAUGGAGCAAGUGGGGACUUCAGUGCGCUCGGUACAAUUUAAAAUGUGAAACACGUCUAAUCCUUUGAGAGCUGUCACAGUUAACGUGAAUGCUCCUUCUUUCCCUUUCUGCCAACUCCCUUUUACCCAGGACAUUUUCCAUGGCCAGUGGUCAGACAUUUAUGAAAAAUGAUUAUAAAUGCACAAAGCAUGCGACCAGACAAGAAAUGGCAAAGGUAGAUACACCAUUUUUCCCGCCAGCAACUGGAUAGAGAGCACUGGGUGUCCUGCCAGUCCUGGCAGUCCUGUUUAGUAAUUUAAAUGGUAGCUGCACAAAAGUAUGCUACGAAAAAGCG